rnacentral:rRNA from 1 species
CCAGAGAACUACGAGCACAAACGCUUAAAACUCUAAGGACUUGGCGGUGCCCUAAACCCACCUAGAGGAGCCUGUUCUGUAAUCGAUGAUCCACGAUCAACCCUACCGUCCCUUGCCAAGCACAGCCUACAUACCGCCGUCGCCCGCCCACCUCGAAUGAGAGCACAACAGUGGGCGCAACAGCACCCCGCUAAUAAGACAGGUCAAGGUAUAGCCUAUGGGGCGGAAGAAAUGGGCUACAUUCCCUAUACAUAGGGCAGCACGGAAAGAAGUAUGAAACUACUUCUGGAAGGAGGAUUUAGCAGUAAAGCGGGAUAAUAAAGCCCGCUUUAAGCCGGCCCUAGGGCACGUACACACCGCCCGUCACC